UGCAGACCCCUGUCCUAGAGGAAUUACACUGUUUUAGAUUCCUCUUAUGCAUUUUGAAGAUCCAUGCCAUAUUCGGUUUGGCUCCAGCACAUCAGACUCAAUGUGUAGCCAGAAGACAUGAGUAAUGAGGGAAUUUUUAGUUUAUGUGCAGUUCUCGGGUGCUACAAAUCCUCCCUGAACUUUCAGGCACCGAUGAAAGACAGCUUAACAUAGUAGCUUCAGAGAGAGAGAUUGGCAUAUGUACUGUAUAAGAGGAAUCUAUGGAAAAAUGAAGUUUCCUGAGUAGCUUCUUGGAACUGUACACAGCCUGAAUAAUAUCUAGACCGUGUCACAACAGAUACAGCAAUUGUCUGAAUAUGGAAACAGCACACUGGGGUUGGCAAUAAUUCAUAUAUAGGUAAUCCUCUACUUAUAACCAUUCUUUUGUGACUGUAUGAAGUUACAACAGCACUGAAAAAAGGGACUUAUGACAGAUUUUCACCACUGCAACAUCCCCGUGGUCACAUGAUCAAAAUUCAGUCACUUGGCAACUGGCAUGUAUUUAUGACGGUUGCAGUGUCCCAGGAUCAUGUGAUCACCUUUUGCAAACUUCUGACAACGAAGUCAAUGGGGAAGCCCAGUUCACUUAACAACCAGGUGACUAACUUAAGUGCAGCUAUUCACUUAACGAUUGUGGCAAGAAAAGCUGUAAAAUGGGGCAAAACUCACUUAACAACUGUAUUGCUUAGCAAAGAAAAUGUUGGGCUCAAUUGUGGUCGUAAGUUGAGGACUACCUAUAGAAAGAUGGUGCCUCUUGGCAAAAAAAUAAUAAUGGUUAAAUGGCCAACAUCUCUCAAGAUUGUCAAAUUUUUAAUCUUGGAAGACGCUGAUACAUGGACCACAGUGCAAAAAUAUGCAAAGGUGCCUUCUCAUUCUUGAUUUAUAUUUAGCAAGCAUCUUUGUUUUCUUCCUUUAAUUUUUAUCGUAUUUAUACAAAAAGGUAUGGACCCAAUAAAUCUCAUAUUUGUUUUUCUAUCCAUCUAUCUUGCUGAGGCAAGGUUGGCUCAGCCUUCCAUCCUUCCGAGGUUGGUAAAAUGAGGACCCAGCUCAUUGGGGGCCAUAUGCUGACUCUGUAAACUGCUUAGAGAAAGCUGUAAAGCACUAUGAAGCGGUAUAUAAGUCUAAGCGCUAUUGCUAAUAAUGCAUCUGGACUUAAACAGUAAGAGAAGAAAAAUAGGGGUAAUUUGUUGAUCUAUAAAAUUGUAGCAAUAUAUAUUCGUUAAAGUACAAUCAAAAAUAUAACAAUGCAAUGACAAAUAACUGACUUCAACUACAAUACUGUAGGAAUCAUAUGAAGCUUAUUUCUAAAAUUUCAGAUUGAAAUUGCAUGGUAUUAUGCCUGCUUUUUCAGAAGCAAAUCCUAGGGAAUUCAGCGAAACCUCCUCUUGUAUGUCAGCCUGUGUAAUGUUGCUAUCUUAGCUUUAAAACAAUACUUUUGAUUUCUGGAAUCUCUAAAUGACUGUUCCUUCAUAUUUACAAGCCCAUCAGUUAACCAGCAAGACUUUUUUAUCACCAACACCUUGUACCAAUGCCUUUAUUCCUGAAUUGAAUGUCCUGGAAAUCAUGCCAAAUUUGGGGGGGUGGGGUGUAGGGAGACUAUAUCUUUUUCUGAUUCUCCAAUUCACUUAUUAAUUUACAAUGAGAGAGAGAGACAGGGAGGGAGGGAGGGAGGGAGGGAGGGAAGGAAGGAAGGAAGGAAGGAAGGAAGGAAGGAAGGAAGGAAAGAAAGAAGAAAGAAAGAAAGAAAGAGAGCACAGCUUAGAUGUAACAGCAGGUGGCAGCACCUAGCCAACUUUUGCUGAUGUCGAAAAAUCAGAGAAGGGUUGGACCUGGAUAGUGCAUAGAUGAGAGGACAUCAAAAAAUGCCAGAGGUGAACUCUAUGCUUGGAUGUAAUAGGACUCAUGAAGAGGGCAAUAGAAGAAAGCAAGCCAUUUCCAUGUUGCUCCAGAUGCCCCUAAAAUCAAGCAGACUCACACUUGAUCAAGAGCAACCUUGCUUUAGAAUUUAUAGAAACAGGAUUUCUAUGGAUGACUGCUGGGUGGCACUACAUGAAUAAACCAAGCCCAAAUUAAAACUACUCCUCAAAUGUCAUUAUGUGACUAUCUCUACAAAGAUCAGAAUAGUGCAAACCAGGGUAUUUUCUAUUACAAUUUAUGGACAUUAAAGUUGGGCUUUGAAGAAACAGGCACUGACACUUUCUGAACAUUGGGGUUAGAAUAUAGAAUAACAGAGUUGGAAGGGGCCUUGGAGGUCUUCUAAUCCAACCCCCUGCCCAGGCAGGAAACCCUACACCACUGCACACAAAUGGUUAUCCAACGUUUCUUAAAAAAUUCCAGUGUUGGAGCAUUCACAACUUCUGCAGGCAAGCUGUUCCACUUAUUAAUUGUUAUAACUGCUUGGACAAGACACAUUGUGGAUCAAAUGAAACGAAUCAACCCAGAAUUCUCACUUGAUCAGGUUCAAAUUAUCGUACAUUACAUGAAGGCUCCUGGAAAAGGCUCUAAUGCUGGGAAAGGUGGAAGGAAAGAGAAGAGGGGGCAAUACGCUGGCUCUGUAAACUGCUUAGAGGGCUCUGUAAACUGCUUAGAGGGCUCUGUAAACUGCUUAGAGAAGGCUGUAAAGCACUGUGAAGCGUUAUAUAAGUCUAAGUGCUAUUGCUAUCAGCAGCAGUACAGUACUGAUGAGUGCACCAUUGGAAGACCAGGUUAGGAUAGUUUGUCAAGGAGAAAAUCAAUCUAUGUAGUUGCUAGAAGCCGAAAAUGACUUGAUGGCAUAGUCAACCAAUCAAUCAUUUAAUCCAGAGAUGGGGAACGAUGGCCUUUUAUAACUUGUGGACUUCAACUUGUGGACUUCAAUUUCCCAGCCAGCCAUGCUGUCUUAGAGCAGGGGUAGCAAAUUAUGGCCUUUUAUGACCUGUGGACUUCAACUUCUGGAAGUUGAAGUCCACAAGUCAUAAAGGGGCCAUUGUUCCCCACCUCCGAUUCAAUCAAUCCAUCAAAUCAAUUGACAAAUAUUUCUGGGGAAGCCGGGUAGAUAAUUUUUAAGUAGAGAAGCAAAACCGGCAAAUAGCAAUGAACUCUGCUAAAAUACGGCAAUUAUUACGGGCUGAAGGGCUAUGCUUGGUGCCAUUUCAGCUUUGCUAGUUCAAACAUAACAAUCAUUGCUGGUCUGCUUUUUUCACAAGACUGCAAAUUCAAUAUUUAUUUCUAGCAAUCGCCUUAAAAUAUUGUUUUUUUGCUACUCAUGCCAAUGGGUUCGGAUACACUGGCACCGUUUAAGAGAACGUACAAGAAAUUUCCAAAUAGCGAAGUAGGAAAAAAAAAAAAGAGGCAAAACUGUUCUGCAGUUGUUUAUGCAGACUAUUUUUAGGCUUGUGAUUUCCUUGAAAAACACCAACUACUCAGGCCAGGCAGCAGAGCACGCCGUUGAAUGUGGUCUUCCAUGGCUACAUGCAUGCUAGGUAAAACAGGUCAGAAUGCCAUAAAUAUGCCUUCUUUCCCAAAAAAACAUUUCAACCUUCCUGCAUUUAAAAGUAAAACUUUCAGAGAAAAACCCUGUCCUUGUGAAUAGUUACCAAGGAAGACCAUUAUUUGGCAAACAAUACUGUAUUUUCUUUUUAGAAAGAUCUGGGGGAGAAGGAAGUGCAGGCUGUAAAUAUCAAACAGUGCUUAAACAAUAGAGACUGAAUUUGGGGGGAGGGGGGGAGACAGAGGGGAGAAAAUGGUGGGAUAAAAGAAGAACAACCCUACCCGCAUGCAGAAAAGGGGAGGGAAGGUUUCCAAGAACAACUAUCCAGGUGCAAUUUAGCGUGCUGAAGUGCAACUCUCAAAUUGCAGAAAGUUUGUGUGUGUGUGUGUGUGUGUGUGUGUGUGUGUGUGUGUGUGUGUGCCGCUUUAAAAAAUCCUUUUACAGCAUUAUUGGAAUCAGUUUCUAAGAUUAUUAGGACCUCUCAAUACUAUCAAAUUAUCUUGGGGAAAAUUUAAGGAAAAAUGUUAAUGUGUACCUUGAUUAUACAGGGUUAAAAUAAAAAAAAUCCUUUAUAUAUACUUUUCUUUUUGCAUAUAAUGCUGAAGGAGAGUUACAUCAGCACAAUGCAUCUUUUGUUUGAUUGCUUUGAUGUCGGUAAAGUUUUGCAUGUCAUGAUACAGCCAGGAUUUAAAUCAGCUUCUAAAUUUCAUCUUUCACACUUUUCAAUCAGAUUAUCAUCUGAAGUCAAUUUUGUGGCCUAUUAUAUUUCAGGGGCUUGUCUUCCCCAAUUUCAAAGACCACCUUUUCUUAUUGGAUGGAAAACCCCCCCCAAAGAAGUAUAAGUUUAGAAGAGACCUGGAAAUAUUUUAAAUAUGUUCAAUUAAGAGUAUAGAACUACUGUAUACUUCUUUACCAAUGUUCCAGCUUUGAAACAAUAAAAUCUGCUGGUUUUCUUCAGCAGCAAAAGUUUUUAUUUACAGGUUGUACUUUUGAUUCCUAACAACAAUAUAUUAUACUAUAAUUUUUUUAAAACAGAACAUUAAUAUUUGGAUUACUAGGAGGAAGAUUCACCAAUGUCCAGUGAGAAAGGGGAAAAAAACCAUUAAAGAAGUUUAAAAAACUUUUAACUCCCUUGGCAUCAACCUACUUUUUUCCCAAUGCUGGAAAUGCGAGGAAAAACACAAGUCUCAUUUUAACAUGAAUGUACUUUUCAUGUUAAGAAAAAAGAACAACCAACCAGACAAUUUGCCAAUCCUUUCCACAAAGUCAUUUCAAUUUUUAAUAUUUGUGCCCUACCAAAACAAUAACAGACUCAUAAUAUUUCUCAGUAUCUGUAUGAAAUACUUUUUGUUCUAAAAGGCAAUAAAAAUUGUAUCUUAUCAGAUAACGGAGAAAAAACUAGUUUGAUUUCUGCCGAUAUUUGUCAUAUGAAUACAAACAAAAUUAUAAUUCCUGUAAUCCAAAACUGGAAGUCCAACUGCUGAUUAGUCAGAAAGUAAAACUAAAAUCCUUUGGAAACAAGAAAACCAGCUUCUAUUUAACUCCUCCAGGGAAGUACCACCAGCUGUUUUGAGGACAUUGGUUCUCCUGUUCGAUUACUCUGUUAUGAAGAAAGCUUUUCUCCCCUAAAACAAAAAGCUGUUUUCCUAAAAUUUACAAUUCCUGCAUUCUGUGAUUAUAGAGAACAAUUCUUCAAAUUACAUUUAUUUUCUGAAUUUGAAGAAUGCUAUCAAAUCUCUCAAUCUUCUUUUCUCAAGGUUUAAGCAUAUUUAGUGCCCACUAUUUCAUCUUACUGUAUUUUUUUUUGUAUAUUACUGUUUUUGAACUUACUCCAGUUGAUUUGCAGAUCCUUAACAACCUGCUAUUUUCUGUGGCUAAUUGUUGUAGUAAAUAAAUACUCUUUGUUUUCCCCUCCAACAGGCAAUUUUGAAGAUGAGGGUCAGCACACCAAAGGUGAGACAAAACCUGCCAUUUCAGCUAGAACUGUGGAGUAUAGGUGUCACCAAGUCCACAAAAACGUAAACAUUUCACAUUUCUUCUCAAGUUUCUUAUUCUCAAAUCCCAAUACCUAGACAUACUGAUUUUUAACUCUCGCAGAAUGUGCGGGGACAAAGUUUAGUCUGGGCCAGUCCCUAUCUCUCAGCCCAACUCGCCUCACAGGGUUGCCCUUGUGAGGCAGAUAGGAAAGGGGGAAAGAGUAUAAUACUUUCACCACCUUGAGUUAUUCAUAAAAAAGAGUUAAAGUGGGAUUUUUUUUUAAAAAAAAAUCAACCUAAAAUAAAAAUAAACAACAAGACAGAAGAGGUAACUUUUAAAAAAAGCAACACGGCAACGGCCCCCUCUAAAAUCCUUAGUCGAAAUGUAUUUAAAAUAAGCUUGUUUCGCCUCAGUAAGAAGGAAAAGCUGUGAAAAGAUUAAAAGAUUUUAAAAUGUAAAUUGGAUGUAGCAUGAACAUAACGUACAUACAUCCAAAAGCAUUUGCCUCGCCCCGUAGCAAAUCUCAAAUUCUUAAAAUGAAACCAAAUGACUACGAAUCAACUGGCUGCAGCUUUGCUUUUUGACCUCCUGUUCCAAGCACAUAAUCUAUUAUCUCAACAACCCAUGCACAGCCCUGUGAGGUAAGGGUACGCAUUUAUUUUAUAUUGCCAUGUGCCGGCAGGCAGGAAAGCUAACGCUGAGUGCAGAAUGAUCUGCCACAUAUUUUGAGCUGGAGGUGAUUAUUUGAACAGGAGAUUUCCCGACUCGGUGUCCUAGACACACACUGCGUGACACCCGCACUCUCUCACAAAAUAGUCACACAGUUUAAAAUAUUUAGAAAGAUGGGAAUACACUGUUAAACUGAAAUAGCUGCCCAACUCUUAAAAAAACCACAAAUGAAGUUUAUAGUAAAUCAUUGUAACUAGCUAAAAUUAUCCUCUAUAUUUAGAGUUCGGAGAUGAAUCACUUUCUUCUGCUUCUUAAUAAACUGGCACACGGAAAGAGAAUGUUACACACCAAUUCUGAAACUCACUGGGGCAGUAUUAAAAUAUUCUUCGAUUAAAAAGCUAGUUGUUUUGUAUUUUAUUUUAAAAAUGGAUUUACUUGCAGCUUGGGAGUAAAAACUAAAACGCAUUCUGAACACUGUCUGAAAACGUAGUAGAUCCAAACUGUCUCAUUACGUAAAUGAAAUAGAUGUGUGGGACUUGCAGGAAUAGGAGAAAAGUGGGUGCAAUAUUUUUUUUUUAAAAAAAAGCAGUUUUCACAAAUAAAUUGGCUUUAAUUACAGGGUCACAGGAUAGCAUUCCAACCACUUGGAGGCAGAGAGGCACUACUGCUCAAAAUUUCAAGCAAACAGCAAGACAACAGCAAAGUUUCUUACUGUAAACGUUGCAAUACUCAAUCACCUAAGUGAGAACCUAUCUCUGAAGCAACUGAGAGUUUGCUCAACAAAGGAUUCUGAAAAGGAAAAAUCAAACUCCUUGAAAAAAAAAUGGUAAAAAAAAGUUAAAACGACAACUGAACCAAGUAUAUUGGAUUCUGACAGCAAACAGAGAGAUUCAAACAGGUUCCAGUUUUUAAUUAAGGUGAGAAAGUGUCGAAGGUGUAAAUUACAGAUAAACUCAAUACUCACAUACAGUCUUGCAUUUAUCAGUAUGUGAAUAUAAAGAACUAUUUUAUUUUAUUUUUACAAAAAAAUCAACUUGGAAAAAAAAGGAAACUAUUUAA